CCGGGCGCAUCGGGCCGCUUUGGAAAGCGGGAAAGCAUCGCUAAGGCGGAAUCCGGCCCCGAAGCCGCCUUUGGCCCUACUUCCCACAGAGCCAGCUAUGACCCCUACAUGACCCCCAUCGGAAUCUGACAACAGUCAACAAGAUAUUAAAGGACAUAUUCUUGCACAGGAACAGGAAGCUCAAAUACAAAGCCUAAAGAAGGUAUAAAAACCCCACUCUCUUAACUCCAUUUUUGUCAGCUUCACAGAACUAUAAACACAGGUGGUUCUGUUCAUCAUUAAAUCAUCUUUCCAAUAUG